GAGUUUGAUCCUGGCUCAGGAUGAACGCUGGCGGCGUGCCUAACACAUGCAAGUCGAGCGUGAAGGUUAUGACAGAUUCUUCGGAUGAUGGAUUGACUGGAAAGCGGCGGACGGGUGAGUAACGCGUGGGUAACCUGCCCUACACACAGGGAUAGCCAUUGGAAACGAUGAUUAAUACCUGAUAACACAAAGACAACGCAUGUUGUUUUUGUCAAAGAUUUAUCGGUGUAGGAUGGACCCGCGUCUGAUUAGCUAGUUGGUAAGGUAACGGCUUACCAAGGCGACGAUCAGUAGCCGACCUGAGAGGGUGAUCGGCCACACUGGAACUGAGACACGGUCCAGACUCCUACGGGAGGCAGCAGUGGGGAAUAUUGCACAAUGGGCGCAAGCCUGAUGCAGCAACGCCGCGUGAACGAAGAAGGUCUUCGGAUCGUAAAGUUCUUUUCUUAGGGAAGGAAAAUGACGGUACCUAAGGAAUAAGCACCGGCUAAAUACGUGCCAGCAGCCGCGGUAAUACGUAUGGUGCAUGCGUUAUCCGGAAUCACUGGGCGUAAAGGGUACGUAGGCGGUUNUGCAAGUCANAAGUGAANGUCUACAGCUCAACUGUAGUAAAGCUUUUGAAACUGCAACACUAGAGUGCAUGAGAGGCAAGUGGAAUUCCUAGUGUAGAGGUGAAAUUCNUAGAUAUUUAGGAGGAAACACCAGGGGCGAAGGCNAC
rnacentral:rRNA from 1 species